GCCUGUAAUAGAUGAACUCAGUUGGUCAGAGCCUGGUGCUAAUAACACCCAGGUCGUAGGUUCAAUCCCCAUAUGGGCC